GUGUGCACCAUGGCCUGGACGCCUCUCCUCCUCGUGUUCCUCUCUCACUGCACAGGUUCCUUCUCCCAACCUGUAGUGACUCAGCCGCCCUCCAUCUCUGCAUCUCCGGGAGCCACAGCCAGACUCACCUGCACCCUCAGCAGUGACACCAGUGUUGGCAACUCUGUUAUAUCCUGGCACCAGCAGAAGCCAGGGAGCCCUCUCCGGUAUCUCCUGUCCUACUACUCAGACUCAAGCAAGGACCAGGGCUCUGGGGUCCCCAGCCGCUUCUCUGGAUCCAAGGAUGCCUCGGCCAAUGCAGGGCUCCUGACCAUCUCUGGGCUUCAGCCUGAGGACGAGGCCGACUACUACUGUCUGUCUGUUGAUAGUAGUGGUAAUCACACAGUGCUGCAGACUCAGGGGGAAGUGACACCAAAACCCCCAGAGCUUCCCUUUCUGAGUCUGCACUCAGCCUGUCCCCACUAA